rnacentral:rRNA from 1 species
CUAAGAAUAUUCCGCAAUGGACGAAAGUCUGACGGAGCGACGCCGCGUGGAUGAAGAAGGCCGCAAGGUUGUAAAAUCCUUUUGCUGGGGAAGAAUAAGUCCAGGAGGGAAUGCCUGGAUGAUGACAUGAACCGGCGAAUAAGCCCCGGCCAACUACGUGCCAGCAGCCGCGGUAACACGUAGGGGGCAAGCGUUGUUCGGAAUUACUGGGCGUAAAGGGCAUGUAGGCGGUUUAGUAAGCUUGGCGUGAAAGACCACAGCUCAACUGUGGGGUUGCGUUGAGAACUGCUGAACUUGAGUUACGGAGAGGGAGCUGGAAUUCCUGGUGUAGGGGUGAAAUCUGUAGAUAUCAGGAAGAACACCGAUGGCGAAGGCAAGCUUCUGGUCGAUAACUGACGCUGAGGUGCGAAAGUGUGGGGAUCAAACA